rnacentral:lncRNA from 1 species
GAAGAGGCUUCCAGCUUUCGCCAAGUCGCGGCUCCCAGUUUUUCCCUGGGCCUCCUUCCUUUCCCCUCUAGGGAAUCCGGCAUCUAGUACCGCUGGCACUGCUUGCUGCUUAGCCCACGCCUCUCAUUUGAAAAUAUAUUUUGUUUUACCGUGCCUAUCACCUGCCGUCCUCUCUCUAGUAACCUUAGUAACGCCUCCUCGGAGGAUCCUCUCAGAGCAGCUCAUCAGCGCUUCAGAUCAGCCUCUCCCUCCUUCCCCCAGUAAAACAGUUCUCAUAAUUAGAACAAAAAUAUCUCUCCAUCGUUUCGCCACCCACACAAUAGAUACCAUUCCAAAAGCAGUGCUGAUGGCAGAAGAGCUCAUCGAAUUUGUGAGGAAAGAAAGAAUAGGAGGAGAGAUUUCUCAGGGUUGAGGAUUCUCUGCCGACAAGCGACCUGGCACAUGCGAAAAGGGAUCCAAAAUAGAAUCUUAAAAAGAAGAAGAAAAAAGGCAGGAAAAGUUGGAUUAUUUUAAGCGCCACUAGGUUCUUCCUGUGCUUUGCGUUUUCUACAUCACGACGCCCCACUCUUUCCACUCUAGUUGUUUGGUUCAUGUCUUGUCUCUCGCUGGCAUUAGCAGCUAUUCAUUUUUUGCUUCCUCCUCAGUACCCAAAACGGUGCCUUGGAAAUCACAAGUGCUAAUUAAAUAUUUGUUGAAUUGAACUGGCACGCUUCUGGCGUUUACAGUGGGCCCUUUUUAGAGAAAACCUUGGCACUUAAUGCACAGUCAUUUUACAUCUUUUGCCC